rnacentral:rRNA from 1 species
UACAGAGGGGGCAAGCGUUGUUCGGAAUUACUGGGCGUAAAGGGCGCGUAGGCGGCCGCCUAAGUCAGACGUGAAGUCCCUCGGCUCAACCGGGGAACUGCGUCUGAUACUGGGCGGCUUGAAUUCGGGAGAGGGAUGCGGAAUUCCAGGUGUAGCGGUGAAAUGCGUAGAUAUCUGGAGGAACACCGGUGGCGAAGGCGGCAUCCUGGACCGAGAUUGACGCUGAGGCGCGAAAGCCAGGGGAGCAAACGGG